UACGUAGGGUGCGAGCGUUAAUCGGAAUUACUGGGCGUAAAGCGUGCGCAGGCUGUUUUGUAAGUCAGAUGUGAAAUCCCUGAGCUCAACUUAGGAACUGCGUUUGAAACUACAAGACUAGAAUAUGUCAGAGGGGGGUAGAAUUCCACGUGUAGCAGUGAAAUGCGUAGAGAUGUGGAGGAAUACCAAUGGCGAAGGCCAGCCCCCUGGGAUAAGUAUUGACGCUCAUGCACGAAAGCGUGGGGAGCAAACAGG
rnacentral:rRNA from 1 species